rnacentral:sRNA from 1 species
GGUACCUGGCCAUGGGGCUACCAGCAAGGAUGUGCAAAGGAAGAACCGCUGCCCCUGCCCUCAGCUUCCUUAUGCCCGAGCCACUACUUAUCCAUGAAUAAGUUCUCUUUCUCUUUGGAAGAAGCCGAGGGCCCUAACAAAUCAGACUGACCUCUCUUGUGACAGGCACCUCGCCUGCCCUUGGAAACAAGCUGCCAGAAUGUGAGGGCCACAGAGACCCAAGAGAAGCCAGCACUGCUAGACUGAGGAACUUGUAAAUAUCUUCUGCUUUCUUGGUGAACAAGGACAGAGACAAUUGCGUGUAUAUUGUGACUGUAGUUUGUGAAGAAAAUGCAACGGUUUGCUUCGACAGCUCCUCAAAUGUACUUGUUAAGUGUGAAUGUGCCUGCCUCAUUGCCUUGUGUUCCAAACACAGUACUGAAUGCGUUGUUUUUAAAUAAACUGUUUCAUUGUGCUUUGGGAAACA